AUAGAUUUUAUUUAUUUAUUUUUAGAGAGAAGAGAAGGGAGGGAGGAGAGGGAGAGAAACAUCAGUGUGUAGUUGCGUCUCAUGUGGGCCCCACUGGGAGCCUGGUCUGCAACCCAGGCAUGUGCCCUGACUGGGAAUCGAACCAGUGACCCUUUGGUGUGCAGCCCAUGCUCAAUCCACUGAGCUACACCAGCCAGG